CUGAUCACAUUGUCCUUGGAACUAAUUUCAUCGAACAAACGGAGCUGUCAAAUCCAUGUACCCCUGCCCAACCCGAAAUAUAUUCAGUUUGCUUUCAGAGCUCGUCCAGAGCACAACUCGUUUCGUAACGAAAAAUGUAAAAAUUUCCAAAUUAUUGUGUAAUUGAGUUUCAUGCGUUUUGCUAACUCAAAUACUCGCCAUUGCUUUUUGUAAGUGAAACCAAUGGCACGGAUUGCAAAGCAACCGCUUUACACGAAAAAUGAAGAACGAGCAGUAAGAUUCCUUUAACAUUCCUUUAAUUUAAAAAGGACCAACGGUGCAGCUCCUGCUAAAUGAUUAGUUUGUAUCUAAUCUAAAAUACAAAUAUACAAAUCGACUUAACACUACAUGCUUAUAUGUAUACACUUGUACACGAAUCUACAAAUAUAAUAUUGUUAAAUCU
rnacentral:lncRNA from 1 species